rnacentral:rRNA from 1 species
UACGGAGGGUGCAAGCGUUGUCCGGAUUUAUUGGGUUUAAAGGGUGCGUAGGCGGAUUGAUAAGUCAGUGGUGAAAGGCAGCGGCUCAACCGUUGAGUUGCCAUUGAUACUGUGAGUCUUGAGUGCACUAGAGGUAAGCGGAAUUUAUGGUGUAGCGGUGAAAUGCAUAGAUACCAUAAAGAACACCAAUAGCGAAGGCAGCUUACUAGAGUGUAACUGACGCUGAGGCACGAAAGCGUGGGGAGCAAACAGGAUUAGAUACCCCUGUAGUCC